UCCCAGAGCCACUGUCUCCGUGGGAAGCUCCCCAGCAGCAUGCACGAGGCAGAAAGCGGACGCGAUGGCCGCUCGCACUCACUCUUCUCACUGUGACAGUCGGCUCCGCACGGGCGGCAGGGACUAGCCUCUGGGAUCCUCAAACCUUGACUUUGUCUACAGAAUCCACUGUGCCUUCCUCAGACGAGAGGGUCUUUGGUUUUAUUCGAAUUUUCCAAAGAAAAAGGUAAAAUGCAAGACCUCCCUCCUCCAGCCCCGCCGGGUCUCCACUGGGAGCUGGUGAUUCACAGCUGCCCACGCCAGACACCCCACCCCAGGGAGGCCCGGGGCACCCCCCUGGUCCUUCACCACCUCCCCUCUCUAAGCGCCAGCUGCCCAGCGGGUCACCUACCUCGUCUUCAUUUCCUGGGUGCUUCCGGAAGCUCUGGCCCCCUUUUCUGAUUGAUCGCUCUCCAGUUCAUCAGAGGAGCGUGCAGACCCUGGGCCUGAGUCCACUCUGGGCUGGCAGGAGCUCUUGCAGCUCCAUCCUCACUCCCUGGAUUAGUAUUAGGAAAUCCACCCCCACCCCACCCCACAUCCUGCUGCAGCCUCUGGGCGCUGGCCUGGCACGGAACCAGGAGGGGCAGGGGGCACCAUGCCGGCUGGGGAGACGGAGACGGUCCAGCCGGAGCCUUGCUCUGGCCCCAGUGCAUCUAAGGUUUGUCUUCAUUACGUUUGAGCUUGCACCAGGGGUCCCGAACCUCCAGGCUGCAGACCAGUACCUCCAGUCAGAUCAGCGACAGCACGAGAUUAAAGAUAAAGCGCACAGAUAUGUUGGGAUUAUAAUCAUAUUGUCAAAAGGAAGGAAAUUGGAAGUCACCCCAGGGAAAAUACUCCAGUCUAUUUGAAUAAUUAGGUAAGGCUGGGCUUUUUGCUGCUGUUGGUUGGUCUUAUUUAAAAAAAAAAAAAAGAUUCUGUGUGUGUGUGUGUGUGUGUGUGUGUGUGUGUUGGGGGCUUUAGCAGAGACCCGCCACAGACACAAGUGUCCACCUCGUCCAGGGCCUGGUUCCGAGGGCAUAAGGCCCCUGGCUCCAUCCACAUGACUCUUGACUUCUCCGAAAGGGCUCAUCUGCUCAGGACCUUGGCCUGUCAUUCUCUCUGCUUGGCUACCAGGAUAUAAAACACUUGGGAGAAAUCACGGAUUUUCUGUCUCUAAAGAUUUCCAGGUUGAGAAAUGGUCCUCUUCAGGUCUGGAGGCUGCACCCUAGACUGUGUGAGCUGUCCGUCUCUUCCUCCAGGGAAUUCUGAGUUCGGCACAGGCCUGGGGGUUCUACAAUGUUUUCCAAGGGAAGCCAUCAGCUACCUGGUGGCUGGGGGGCAGCCAGGGAUUGCGGGAAGGGAGUCUUCCUGCCUCUGAGGGAAGGUUUCUGUCCUGGCAGGGACCCGCACUGGUAAAAUGAGCCUCAGCUCCCAGCCCCAACCAGGCGGUGGGCGCUCUCUCUCGUGUCUGUUUCCAGGAGGGUAAAGACUUUUGCGAUCGCCAGUUGUGCGGUUGGUUUGUGAGUCAUUGUGGAGCACUUGGCCGGGCCGGAGACAGCAAGAAGCAAUUAGUCCUCUGAUCGACGCGGUUUGUCAACAUAAAAGGUUUGGGCUGAAGGGCCGCCAGAUGACACCCACUGCUUGGCACGCCCGCGAUGGCCACAGGCCUUCGUUGUUUAUUCCUCCCGCCUGAAAAACGCCCCGGGGGUGAGAGAAGGGGGCGGGCCCGAGCUGGAGGUGGGGCGCAGCUGCCGUCCAUCUGAGCCCCUCCGCCGGCGGAGCAGAGCCCCUCCCCUCGCGUUAGGGGGCAGGGCUGCUGGGGCCACCUGCUUCCCACUGGGCCAGAGGCCAAUUAUCCAGACGGAGGGACAGCCGGGUCCCCAGGGCAGGGACAGCGAGACACGAGAAAGGGAGUUAAGCGGACGCGCGGAUGGUCAGAGUAAAAGGCCGACUCUUUACCUUCUGAACCACAGGGGAGGCUCCGUGGCCCUUUCUUCAGACAACCUGCUUGCUGUGCAGACCGCCUGGACUCCACCACCUGGAGCUCCUCUUCCAAUGAGGCCGCAGGGCAGUCCCUUCUGUUUGUGACCGACAGCAGGCCGAGCCCAGCCCCCGCCCCGCCCCCGCCCGCCCCGGGACUGCAGGAUUCACUUCCGGCCCUGAAGGAAGGGCUUGUGGGCCUGCCUGCCUGCCUCACCCCUUACCUGUCGGGAGGUCCUGCUUCGGGACCAUACCCGCCUCAUUUGACGGCCGCUUGCGGGGGUCCCCCGCCCGAGUCUCCCGCUCCAUACAACCCCUGAUGGUGUCUUGUGUUGGGCCUGGUUGAUUUCCACACUCUGGUCCCCAGUGUGCAGAGUGCUCCAAGCCGCCUGCUCCCAAGUCUCCAUAUACGACACCAGUGUUUACUUCUGCAAGCUGUCCCCACGGUCAUUGUAGCUGCUUCUGAUCUUUGCUGGGUCUCCUGGUAGCAGCACCGUGGUUUUCCUUUGGGGAGCACUCCUCGGUCGCGCAAACAGCACAGGAUCUGGCCAACUGAUACAUUUCCCUCUCUGGUAUCAAAAUUGGUUCGGGAAUGGGCGUGAGACUAGCGUGGGUCCAGCGAGAGUCAGCCUUGGGACUCAGGCCAGGAAUUCAGAGAGCACGGCGCUCCCUGUCUGCUGGGGCCUCUCAAGUGGAAGGACAAACACGAGCUUCGAAAGACCUCACCAAGGAGAGCCCUCUGGGGCUGAAGCCAGAAGAAUUCAGAGCCUCAAGAGGAGGGGCUGGCGGCGGAGGGGGAGACUGGCCAACCUCUGACGUCACUGGAUCCUUACAUCCAGCUGCCCCAGGUCCCUGGGAGCCAGCAAAUCCUGUCUCUUUUUUCUCUUAAGUCGACUUGACUUGGGUUUUGUUUUACUCAACCCAAAGGAUGCUAAUAACACAGUUCCCAUCCAGGAGGUGGUGGGCAGAUGUGUUCUCAGGACCAGGAGCCCACACCAUGUGAGAGGGAGGCUGGGGAUGGAACCAGUCACUUUGAGAAACAGGACGCAGUGAUAAAGAGAAUCUCAAGUUCCAGUUCUGGAGAAUUCCACAGGUUAGAUGUUUGCAACCAGAGGCCUGGGGGUGUGAGGGCCUUUUCCUAACAGGGCUCUUGGGCCCUGAGGCCACGCUGGCUCUUUGCUGCAGGCCAGCAUCAGCAGCGCCUGCGGAGAAGGACCCUGCCUUCCUGGGGGAGGGGGCCUGUCCCUGAAGCCCCAGUCC
ensembl:lncRNA